rnacentral:rRNA from 1 species
AGAGUUUGAUCCUGGCUCAGGAUGAACGCUGGCGGUCUGCUUAACACAUGCAAGUCGAACGGGAGUAGCAAUACUUCAGUGGCGGACGGGUGAGUAACGCGUGAGAAUCUGCCUUCGGGUCGGGGACAACCACGGGAAACGGUGGCUAAUACCGGAUGUGCCUAACGGUGAAAGAUUUAUUGCCCGAAGAGGAGCUCGCGUCUGAUUAGCUAGUUGGUGAGGUAAAAGCUCACCAAGGCGGCGAUCAGUAGCUGGUCUGAGAGGACGAUCAGCCACACUGGGACUGAGACACGGCCCAGACUCCUACGGGAGGCAGCAGUGGGGAAUUUUCCGCAAUGGGCGAAAGCCUGACGGAGCAAGACCGCGUGAGGGAAGAAGGCUCUUGGGUCGUAAACCUCUUUUGUCAGGGAAGAACACGAUGACGGUACCUGACGAAUCAGCCUCGGCUAACUCCGUGCCAGCAGCCGCGGUAAUACGGAGGAGGCAAGCGUUAUCCGGAAUUAUUGGGCGUAAAGCGUCCGCAGGUGGCGAUUCAAGUCUGCGGUCAAAGACUGGGGCUUAACCCUGGAAAGGCCGUGGAAACUGAAAAGCUAGAGUGCAGUAGGGGUAGAGGGAAUUCCCGGUGUAGCGGUGAAAUGCGUAGAGCUCGGGAAGAACAUCGGUGGCGAAAGCGCUCUGCUGGACUGCAACUGACACUCAGGGACGAAAGCUAGGGGAGCGAAUGGGAUUAGAUACCCCAGUAGUCCUAGCCGUAAACGAUGGAUACUAGGUGUGGCUUGUAUCGACCCGAGCCGUGCCGUAGCUAACGCGUUAAGUAUCCCGCCUGGGGAGUACGCACGCAAGUGUGAAACUCAAAGGAAUUGACGGGGGCCCGCACAAGCGGUGGAGUAUGUGGUUUAAUUCGAUGCAACGCGAAGAACCUUACCAGGGCUUGACAUGUCCGGAAUCAAGGGGAAACUCUUGAGUGCCUUCGGGAGCCGGAACACAGGUGGUGCAUGGCUGUCGUCAGCUCGUGUCGUGAGAUGUUGGGUUAAGUCCCGCAACGAGCGCAACCCUCGUCUUUAGUUGCCAGCAUUAAGUUGGGCACUCUAGAGAGACUGCCGGUGACAAACCGGAGGAAGGUGGGGAUGACGUCAAGUCAGCAUGCCCCUUACGUCCUGGGCGACACACGUACUACAAUGCUACGGACAAAGGGCAGCAAGCGCGCGAGUGCAAGCUAAUCCCAGAAACCGUGGCUCAGUUCAGAUCGCAGGCUGCAACUCGCCUGCGUGAAGGAGGAAUCGCUAGUAAUUGCAGGUCAGCAUACUGCAGUGAAUCCGUUCCCGGGCCUUGUACACACCGCCCGUCACACCAUGGAAGUUGGCCACGCCCGAAGUCGUUACCCUAACCGUUCGCGGAGGGGGACGCCGAAGGCAGGGCUGAUGACUGGGGUGAAGUCGUAACAAGGUAGCCGUACCGGAAGGUGUGGCUGGAUCACCUCCUUUUAAGGGAGACCAACUGGCAGGAGACCGAACCCAAAACCAAAAGGUCAACUAGCCAGACAUCCCAAGGUCGUUCGAGUUAGAGUAGUCAGAGAACUUUCAAACUAUGUUUCGGUUCGGAAUCGGGGCUAUUAGCUCAGGUGGUUAGAGCGCACCCCUGAUAAGGGUGAGGUCCCUGGUUCGAGUCCAGGAUGGCCCACCUUAAAAAAAGCGAUGGGAAAAAAGACACCAGCACCUCAACUUGUAAAACAGCAAGAGAGAAUGCUGGAGGUGAAGUCCAGUAAGAGCCUUGAAAACUGCAUAUGCAAUAGGAAAAAAAGCUGGAUAGAGGCUUUGUCCCGUAAGAGGGUGAAAGUGAUAUCAAGUGAAAAUUCAAGUGUUCAAUCUACAAAGACCUAGCAGUGGAUACCUAGGCACACAGAGGCGAAG